rnacentral:rRNA from 1 species
UCUGGUUGAUCCUGCCAGUAGUUAUAUGCUUGUCUCAAAGAUUAAGCCAUGCAUGUCUAAGUACACACGAAUUAAAAGUGAAACCGCAAAAGGCUCAUUAUAUCAGUUAUGGUUCCUUAGAUCGUUAACAGUUACUUGGAUAACUGUGGUAAUUCUAGAGCUAAUACAUGCAUUAUAAACACGGACCUUUGGGACGUGUGCUUUUAUUAGGCUAAAACCAAGCGAUCGCAAGAUCGUUAUUAUGGUUGAACUCUAGAUAACUUGCAGAUCGUAUGGUCUUGUACCGACGACAGAUCUUUCAAAUGUCUGCCCUAUCAACUUUUGAUGGUAGUAUCUAGGACUACCAUGGUUGCAACGGGUAACGGGGAAUCAGGGUUCGAUUCCGGAGAGGGAGCCUGAGAAACGGCUACCACAUCUAAGGAAGGCAGCAGGCGCGUAAAUUACCCACUCCCAGCCCGGGGAGGUAGUGACGAAAAAUAACAAUACAGGACUCAUUAUAGAGGCCCUGUAAUUGGAAUGAGUACACUUUAAAUCCUUUAACAAGGACCUAUUGGAGGGCAAGUCUGGUGCCAGCAGCCGCGGUAACUCCAGCUCCAAUAGCGUAUAUUAAAGUUGUUGCGGUUAAAACGUUCGUAGUUGAACUUGUGCUUCAUACGGGUAGUAUAACUAUAAUUGUAGUCUGUACUAUACCUUAUGUAUGUAAGCGUAUUACCGGUGGAGUUCUUAUAUGUAUUAAAUACUUGUAUUUAUAUGUAUUCCUCCUAUUUAAACCUGCUUCAGUGCUCUUCAUUGCGUGCUGUUGUAGGCCGGUACAAUUACUUUGAACAAAUUAGAGUGCUUAAAGCAGGCUCCAAAUGCCUGAAUAUUUUGUGCAUGGAAUAAUGAAUACAUUGACAAAUACUUUUUCAUGAUGUUGAAUUUUAAAAUAUUAUUUUUUGAAAUCAGUCUGACUGAAAAAUCAAUGUUGAUGUUUUAAAGAACAACUUUAUUGUGUUGAAUCAUUUUGAAUUGUAUUUGACUCGAUGAAUUCAAUAUGAUUUCAAUAAAAUUAGUAUGUCUUUCUCAAAUCAUCAACAGAAUAUUCAAAGAAAAUUUCUAAAUAUGUACUUUAAUCAUGAUGUUGA